rnacentral:rRNA from 1 species
UGGGGAAUAUUGGACAAUGGGGGCAACCCUGAUCCAGCCAUGCCGCGUGAGUGAAGAAGGCCUUCGGGUUGUAAAGCUCUUUCAGAUGCGAAGAUGAUGACGGUAACAUCAGAAGAAGCCCCGGCUAAUUUCGUGCCAGCAGCCGCGGUAAUACGAAAGGGGCUAGCGUUGUUCGGAUUUACUGGGCGUAAAGGGCACGCAGGCGGUCUUGCCAGUCAGGGGUGAAAGCCCGAGGCUCAACCUCGGAACUGCCUCUGAUACUGUAAGACUUGAGACUAGGAGAGGGUGGUGGAAUUCCCAGUGUAGAGGUGAAAUUCGUAGAUAUUGGGAGGAACACCAGAGGCGAAGGCGGCCACCUGGACUAGAUCUGACGCUCAGGUGCGAAAGCGUGGGGAGCAAACAGG